GACAGAGGGUGCAAACGUUGCUCGGAAUCACUGGGCGUAAAGGGCGUGUAGGCGGAUAGAUAAGUCGGGCGUGAAAUCCCCAGGCUCAACCUGGGAACUGCACUCGAAACUGUUUAUCUUGAGUGCCGGAGAGGAAAGCGGAAUUCCUGGUGUAGAGGUGAAAUUCGUAGAUAUCAGGAGGAACACCAGUGGCGAAGGUGGCUUUCUGGACGGUAACUGACGCUGAGACGCGAAAGCGUGGGGAGCAAACAGG
rnacentral:rRNA from 1 species